rnacentral:rRNA from 1 species
GUGGGGAAUUGUUCACAAUGGGCGCAAGCCUGAUGACGCAACGCCGCGUGGAGGAUGAAGGUCUUCGGAUUGUAAACUCCUGUUGCCCGGGACGAAAAGCUUCGACCUAACACGUCGAAGUCUGACGGUACCGGGUGAGGAAGCCCCGGCUAACUCUGUGCCAGCAGCCGCGGUAAUACGGAGGGGGCUAGCGUUGUUCGGAAUUACUGGGCGUAAAGCGCGCGUAGGCGGCUUUGUAAGUUAGAGGUGAAAGCCCGGAGCUCAACUCCGGAACUGCCUUUAAGACUGCAUCGCUAGAAUUGUGGAGAGGUAAGUGGAAUUCCGAGUGUAGAGGUGAAAUUCGUAGAUAUUCGGAAGAACACCAGUGGCGAAGGCGACUUACUGGACACAUAUUGACGCUGAGGUGCGAAAGCGUGGGGAGCAAA